GAACGCACCUUGCGCUCCUUGGUAUUCCGAGGAGCAUGCCUGUUUGAGUGUCAUUAAAUUCUCAACUCUACCAGUUUUUGCUGUGUAGAGCUUGGAUAUGGAGGUUGUGCAGAAUGCUCACGCGUACUGCUCCUCUUAAAUGGAUUAGCGAGUUCACUGGACUCCGUCUAUUGGUGUGAUAACUAUCUACGCUUGUGGUCUCCCCACCGGGUAACCUUCAGCAAUGGAGGUUCGCUGGGGCUCAUAAACGUCUCUCCUCUGUGAGAGACAGCUUUUUGAACGUUUGAUCUCAAAUCAGGUAGGACUACCCGCUGAACUUAAG
rnacentral:misc_RNA from 1 species